CCUACGGGAGGCAGCAGUGAGGAAUAUUGGUCAAUGGACGAGAGUCUGAACCAGCCAAGUAGCGUGAAGGAUGACUGCCCUAGGGGUUGUAAACUUCUUUUAUAUGGGAAUAAAACAGGGUAUGCAUACCCUCUUGGAUGUACCAUAUGAAUAAGGAUCGGCUAACUCCGUGCCAGCAGCCGCGGUAAUACGGAGGAUCCGAGCGUUAUCCGGAUUUAUUGGGUUUAAAGGGAGCGUAGGUGGAUUGUUAAGUCAGUUGGGAAAGUUUGCGGCUCAACCGUAAAAUUGCAGUUGAAACUGGCAGUCUUGAGUACAGUAGAGGUGGGCGGAAAUCGUGGUGUAGCGGGUGAAUGCUUAGAUAUCACGAAGAACUCCGAGUGCGAAGGCAGCUCACUGGACUGCAACUGGCACUGAUGCUCGAAAGUGUUGGUAUCAAACAGGGUUUGAUUCCCGUGUAGUC
rnacentral:rRNA from 1 species